UCCAGACUCCUACGGGAGGCAGCAGUGAGGAAUAUUGGUCAAUGGGCGAGAGCCUGAACCAGCCAAGUCGCGUGAGGGAGUACUGCCCUAUGGGUUGUAAACCUCUUUUGUCGGGGAGCAAAACCCGGGACGUGUCCCGGACUGCGUGUAUCCGAAGAAAAAGCAUCGGCUAACUCCGUGCCAGCAGCCGCGGUAAUACGGAGGAUGCGAGCGUUAUCCGGAUUUAUUGGGUUUAAAGGGUGCGUAGGCGGUCCGUUAAGUCAGCGGUAAAAUUGCGGGGCUCAACCUCGCUCCGCCGUUGAAACUGGCGUUCUUGAGUGGGCGAGAAGUAUGCGGAAUGCGUGGUGUAGCGGUGAAAUGCAUAGAUAUCACGCAGAACUCCGAUUGCGAAGGCAGCAUACCGGCGCCCAACUGACGCUGAAGCACGAAAGCGUGGGUAUCGAACAGGAUUAGAUACCCUAGUAAG
rnacentral:rRNA from 1 species